rnacentral:rRNA from 1 species
GACGAACGCUGGCGGCGUGCUUAACACAUGCAAGUCGAACGAAGAGCGAUGGAAUCUUGCUUCUAUCAAUCUUAGUUUCGAACGGGUUAGUAACGCGGAAUCAACCUGCCCUUCAGAGGGGGACAACAGUUGGAAACGACUGCUAAUACCGCAUACAAUCUCACCUCGGCAUCUAAGAUAGAUGAUAGGUGGCCUCUAUUUAUAAGCUAUCACUGAAGGAGGGGAUUGCGUCUGAUUAGCUAGUUGGAGGGGUACCGGCCCACCAAGGCGAGGAUCAGUAGCAGGUCUGAGAGGAGGAAAGGGCAAAUUGGGACGGGGACACGAACCAGACUACUACGAGAGGCAGACGUGGGGAAUCUUCAGGAAUGGAAGAAAGUCUGAAGGAGCAACGACGCGUGAGUGAUGAAGGCAUUCGGGUUGUAAAGCUCUGUUAAUCGGGAGGAAAGGAAUUCUUGCGAAUAGUUAGAAGGAUUGACGGUACCGGAAUAGAAAGCCACGGCUAAAUACGUG